CCUAAUACAUGCAAGUCGAGCGCAGGAAAUCGACGGAACCCUUCGGGGGGAAGUCGACGGAAUGAGCGGCGGACGGGUGAGUAACACGUAAAGAACCUGCCCUCAGGUCUGGGAUAACCACGAGAAAUCGGGGCUAAUACCGGAUGGGUCAUCGGACCGCAUGGUCCGAGGAUGAAAGGCGCUUCGGCGUCGCCUGGGGAUGGCUUUGCGGUGCAUUAGCUAGUUGGUGGGGUAAUGGCCCACCAAGGCGACGAUGCAUAGCCGACCUGAGAGGGUGAUCGGCCACACUGGGACUGAGACACGGCCCAGACUCCUACGGGAGGCAGCAGUAGGGAAUCUUCCACAAUGGACGAAAGUCUGAUGGAGCAACGCCGCGUGAACGAUGAAGGCCUUCGGGUCGUAAAGUUCUGUUGUAAGGGAAGAACAAGUGCCGCAGGCAAUGGCGGCACCUUGACGGUACCUUGCGAGAAAGCCACGGCUAACUACGUGCCAGCAGCCGCGGUAAUACGUAGGUGGCAAGCGUUGUCCGGAAUUAUUGGGCGUAAAGCGCGCGCAGGCGGCCUCUUAAGUCUGAUGUGAAAGCCCCCGGCUCAACCGGGGAGGGCCAUUGGAAACUGGGAGGCUUGAGUAUAGGAGAGAAGAGUGGAAUUCCACGUGUAGCGGUGAAAUGCGUAGAGAUGUGGAGGAACACCAGUGGCGAAGGCGACUCUUUGGCCUAUAACUGACGCUGAGGCGCGAAAGCG
rnacentral:rRNA from 1 species